CAGGUCACUAUGUUUUAACUGACGCUGAUGGACGAAAGCGUGGGGAGCGAACAGGAUUAGAUACCCUGGUAGUCCACGCCGUAAACGAUGCUAACUCGUUUUUGGGUUUUCGGAUUCAGAGACUAAGCGAAAGUGAUAAGUUAGCCACCUGGGGAGUACGUUCGCAAGUAUGAAACUCAAAGGAAUUGACGGGGGCCCGCACAAGCGGUGGAUUAUGUGGUUUAAUUCGAUGAUACGCGAGGAACCUUACCAAGGCUUAAAUGGGAAUUGACAGGUUUAGAAAUAGACUUUUCUUCGGACAAUUUUCAAGGUGCUGCAUGGUUGUCGUCAGCUCGUGCCGUGAGGUGUUAGGUUAAGUCCUGCAACGAGCGCAACCCCUGUCACUAGUUGCCAUCAUUAAGUUGGGGACUCUAGUGAGACUGCCUACGCAAGUAGAGAGGAAGGUGGGGAUGACGUCAAAUCAUCACGGCCCUUACGCCUUGGGCCACACACGUAAUACAAUGGCCGGUACAGAGGGCAGCUACUAUGCGAAUAGAUGCGAAUCUCGAAAGCCGGUCUCAGUUCGGAUUGGAGUCUGCAACUCGACUCUAUGAAGCUGGAAUCGCUAGUAAUCGCGCAUCAGCCAUGGCGCGGUGAAUACGUUCCCGGGCCUUGUACACACCGCCCGUCAAGCCAUGGAAGUCUGGGGUACCUGAAGUCGGUGACCGUAACAGGAGCUGCCUAGGGUAAAACAGGUAACUAGGGCUAAGUCGUAACAAGGUAACCA
rnacentral:rRNA from 1 species